CUCUUUCUCUCUGCCUUUCUUCUAUAAAGCUCUAAAACCAUGGACUGUCUCUGCUCAUGGAGACUCGCCAUGUUAGGGCAACAGAGCGGGCUUUCCUCUAAAAUGCUGCAUCUAACCUCCUACCAAAGAAAGGCCUUCCUGAGCUCCAGCAACAGCCAUUAGCCAACCCAAGCUGCCCACUGAGCAAGCCAGACUCUCUCCUCCCCACAGUAACCUGCCAGGCCUCUCCCCCUACCCUCCCUUCGGCCCCUGGGCCAGAGUCUGUCUGAGGGCCCAUUCUCAGCUCUUCCACGACAUACAGGGAGGUCUGGGAGGUCUGAGCCUGAGAACCUCCUUAAGGCCCAGGGACCCCGGAUUGCUCCCUCUCUACCCCCUCGGACUGGGGUUCUGUGGCUUCCCACAGUUAGACAUCCAUCCACCCGGGCCACAUAGAGCACGGCAGUUUUCCCUGCCCCCCUUUAUUUCCUGAGACACGCUGCCCGACACAGGUGCUCUGCAUGGCAGCCAGCGAGGGGUGGGUGUACGUGAGAUCCUGAAGGAAACGGGCAAUGCAGCUGGACAAGUGACAUGGAGACACGGCAGCAUAGCCCAGAAGGAGGAAGACAGACCUGCAGACUGUCAUGCCACCCACAGGCCUGUCCUCCAGUGUACAGGUGGGCCACAGAAACCUGUUUGCUGACAGGCCACAUCGCAUGGAUGAAGUCACUCAGAAACCUGCCAGCCGAGUGGCCAGCCUAUAUCUGGAGCCAGCACAAUGUGCAAGCACGUGGUGGUCAGCAUGCACCAGGCUAGCCUUGGAGCUUCUGGAGACUCUCAGGUCUCUGCUGUCCAUCUCCACACAGGAGUGACACGAUUAUAGACAUGUGCUCGCACACCCGGUUUUCAUGGGUUCUGAAUCCUUACACGUGUACUACAUGAUGGGAUCUUCAGUGCGAUAGAGAUCACCUACUUCAACCCUUGCAGGAUCAGCACAGUGAAGGUGAUACUAAAAAAAAAAAGAGGUGGUCAAACCUCCGAAAAGAACCCCACCACUUUAGCUCUUCCACUUCAGCUCUUUGUUAUUUGCAAAGACGCCUCAUUAUGCAGAACCUGUGCUUCCAGGCUUCCAUCUGAGGACCAGUGACUCUUCAGGAACACUACAGGAACACCAGCUUAAUGUAGCUUGCAGGAAGCCUGACUACAGAGAGCUUUAUCACCACAGAAGGAGGUAAAAUGUGAAAGACAGCAUUCUCUUUGCAGGAGGUCCAUCUGAUCACAGACAACAGAGAGAACAGAGAACACAAAGAGCUACUGGCGCUUAUGGAUAACCAGAACUAAGAGAAGCUAUUCACUGGACUCCAAUUUCCAAGUCUCAUUUUUUGGUUGGCUUUGUUUGAUUUUUGGUUUGGUUUGGUUUGGUUUUUCAAGACAGGGUUUCUCUGUGUCCUGAAUUGUCCUGAACUCAAUUUGUAGACCAGGCUGGCCUCUGCCUGCCUCUUCCUCCUAAGUGCUGGGAUAAAAGCCAUGUGCCACUGCACCCAGCAAGUCUCAUUUCUUAUAUAAUUAAGUUAUAUUAGGAUGCUCCACCACCAGAAGUUACCCAGCUAAAUCAGUUACUUCUUUUUUGAUGUGACCAAAUGCCUGAUAGAAACAACUAGUUUUAUACUAACUUGACACAAGAUACAGUCCUUUAAAAGAGGCCAGCCCUCAAUUGAGAAAAUGUCCCUACCAUAGUAGUUUGUGAGGCAUUAUUUUGAACGAUGUUGAAAAAUCCAACUCACUGUGAGUAGAGCCAUCCCUGGGCUGGUGGUCCUGGGUUCUAUAAAAAAGCAGGCUGAGCAAGCCAUGGGGAAUAAGCCAGUAAGCAGCAUCCCUCCAGGGCCUCCAGGUUCCUCUAAUGGAAUGUGACUUUAGAGUUGUAAGCUGAAAUAAACCCUUUUCUCCCCAA